rnacentral:rRNA from 1 species
ACCGAGUGCUUGCACUCACCGAUAAAGAGUUGAGUGGCGAACGGGUGAGUAACACGUGGGCAACCUGCCCAAAAGAGGGGGAUAACACUUGGAAACAGGUGCUAAUACCGCAUAACCAUAGUUACCGCAUGGUAACUAUGUAAAAGGUGGCUAUGCUACCGCUUUUGGAUGGGCCCGCGGCGCAUUAGCUAGUUGGUGGGGUAAAGGCUUACCAAGGCAAUGAUGCGUAGCCGAACUGAGAGGUUGAUCGGCCACAUUGGGACUGAGACACGGCCCAAACUCCUACGGGAGGCAGCAGUAGGGAAUCUUCCACAAUGGGCGAAAGCCUGAUGGAGCAACGCCGCGUGGGUGAAGAAGGUCUUCGGAUCGUAAAACCCUGUUGUUAGAGAAGAAAGUGCGUGAGAGUAACUGUUCACGUUUCGACGGUAUCUAACCAGAAAGCCACGGCUAACUACGUGCCAGCAGCCGCGGUAAUACGUAGGUGGCAAGCGUUAUCCGGAUUUAUUGGGCGUAAAGGGAACGCAGGCGGUCUUUUAAGUCUGAUGUGAAAGCCUUCGGCUUAACCGGAGUAGUGCAUUGGAAACUGGGAGACUUGAGUGCAGAAGAGGAGAGUGGAACUCCAUGUGUAGCGGUGAAAUGCGUAGAUAUAUGGAAGAACACCAGUGGCGAAAGCGGCUCUCUGGUCUGUAACUGACG